CCCCCCCCCCCCCGUAAACUCUGCGCUGGGGCCCCGGAGGGGACGAGGCUAAUAAUAUUUUAUCUGUUUCUAAAGAAAACAGUUACUGGGCUAGCUAGCAUUUAGCUUCAGAGACACGACAGAUCUUCUAAUACACCUUUUUUCCAUAAGAAGACUGCUCCUCUCAGCAGUUACGUACAUAAAUCAGGGUGGCAUAGGUUUCACCAUUACCAAGAUUCCUGGUAUCUCGUCUACAUCUUCUCUCUGAAGUGGUUCUCCUCUUUCUGCUUUCUAGGAUCCUGGGUGCACGCACAGCUGGUUUUCUGUCCACUUCGGCCUUCAGCCGCCCUCUCAGGAACUGAGCGCUCACCGUGUUUGCUCCAUUCAACAACUGCACUCUCGCUGUGACAACAGCCUUCCGCGAAAGGUGUCACUCCUGCUGCCCUCGUUAUCUUCCAAAAGAGUGGACUAAUUACUGAUGACACCCUACAAGGAAAGAUGUGUACUGAAAAGGUGUGCAUUAAAAGAC
rnacentral:lncRNA from 1 species